UAAUUAAAUGUCCGGGAAUGA
ensembl:piRNA 21ur-6557 ncRNA